ACACGUAGGGAUCAUUGAUCCCAAUAUCAUCCCGGAGUCUAGUUUCCAAACUCAGUGGCUGAUGAUAUUCACGACGCUCUGGGAAUCCAUCCUGUCUGUAAUAAUCACGUAGCUCUACUACUGCCUGCCUUCUGUAAACAUCAGGAUUGCCUAGCACUGUUUCACGUGGCUCUACUACUGCCUGUCUUCUGUAAACAUCAGGAUUGCCUAGCACUGUGUCCCGCCUAUAAGCAUCAGGGAGUUCCACCAAUCGGCUCUGCCUAUAAGUAUCAUCAUGCUGUAUCACUGUGUCCCGUCUAUAAGGAUCUGUUCUCAAAGUCCUACUAUAUGCAUA
rnacentral:lncRNA from 1 species